UAGAAGAGCUGCAAUCACAAAAAUAUUUGAUCUCGCAAAUUCACUGGAUAGCAACGAAAAACUGGAAAUAUUCAAGGAAACCCUUCAAACAGCGAUAGAACAGGAAGAGAGACUGAAGGGAGAAUCCAGAUACAAAAUCACAACCUUCUCAAAACAAUACAAUGAAAAAAUGAAGGAACUUAUGCCUCAAUUGA